rnacentral:lncRNA from 1 species
UAAAACAACUCCCAGUGUGGGGAAUACCUCAGCUAGGAUUUUUGUCCUGAGAUUUGGCAUUUCUGAUUCCUGUCAUCACUAGAACCAGGGAGCUGAGAGAAGCAUGAAAAUUGGUUUUGGAAAUAGAUGACUUUCCCAAAAUCGGUUGGAUAAAUAGAAUUCAAACAAGUUGGAAGAAAGGUUCCUUUAUGAAAGGUGGUUAAAGGAUAGCAAAG